rnacentral:lncRNA from 1 species
CUUUACUGUGCAUUGCUUCUCAGUUUAGUUUCAGCCACCAGGUGGGCCUGAGGGGGAGAAGAGUUUGAUUUUGAGGGGAAACGAAAGGUGUGCAGCUCAAGGAAACGUUCAUGAGGAUUAUCGGUCCCUCCAUCUGCCAGCCGGGCACAGAUAAAAUUUUCUUCUCUCCUGGAUCUUUCCGACUCCACAUCGUUAUCUGUACACAUGCUAUCUCACUAAGAACAGCAGUGGGCAGAGGAAGGGUGCCCCACUGUCGUCUCAGGAUGUUUUCCCAAUUGCUGGAACCAUUUUGCAAGUUGUGCUUUGCACUCACGGGCAGUGGCAACCGCGUCAUGACUGUGUCUGUGACUGGAGCCAAGAUUUCAGUGCGCCCUGACUCCAGAGUCUGGAGGUCACUGGUCUACGACGUGCUCGAUAGCCUUCUCAAUCUCGAUAUGGCCAAAUGUCAACUCGAUUUCUGCUUCCCAACCCUCCGUGCAGGCAACCUGUGCCUCCCUCAGGCCUUCAAAGGCCCCGAAGCUGAAGAUCUGCUGCCUGAGUCCUCUUGACCCGUUGCUGCCUCAGGAAUGGAUGUGC